rnacentral:tRNA from 1 species
UGUAUAUGGUGUAAAAAACACAUAGACUUUUCACGUCUAAGUUAUAUUUAAUAUUAUACAC